rnacentral:rRNA from 1 species
GCAAGUCGAACGGGUUUAGACCCGUGGCAAACGGGGUAGUAACACGUGGGAAUGAACCCAGAAGUUAGGGAUAACCCACCGAAAGGUGGAGUAAUACCUAAUAGUCUCUUCGGAGUAAAGAUUUAUCGCUUCUGGAUCGGCCCGCGCGCUAUCAGCUUGUUGGUGAGGUAAAAGCUCACCAAGGCGAUGACGGCUAGGGGAGCUGAGAGGCUGACC